rnacentral:rRNA from 1 species
AAGGNCGGCCUGAGAGGCUGACCGGCUACACUGGGUCUGAGACACGGCCCAGACUCCUACGCGAGGCAGCAGUGGGGAAUAUUGCACAAUGGGCGAAAGCAUGAUGCAGCGACGUGGCGCGAGGAAUGACGGCCUUCGGGUUGUAAACCUCUUUCAGCAGGGAAGAAGCGAAAGUGACGGUACCUGCAGAAGAAGCGCCGACUAACUACGUGCCAGCAGCCGCGAUAGGCCGCGGGGCGCAAGCGUGGUCCGGAAUUAUUGGGCGUAAAGAGCUCGUAGGCGGCUUGUCACGUCGGGUGUGAAAGACCGGGGCUUAACCCCGGUUCUGCAUUCGAUACGGGCUAGCUAGAGUGUGGUAGGGGAGAUCGGAAUUCCUGGUGUAGCGGUGAAAUGCGCAGAUAUCAGGAGGAACACCGGUGGCGAAGGCGGAUCUCUGGGCCAUUACUGACGCUGAGGAGCGAAAGCGUGGGGAGCGAACAGGAUUAGAUACCCUGGUAGUCCACGCCGUAAACGGUGGGAACUAGGUGUUGGCAACAUUCCACGUUGUCGGUGCCGCAGCUAACGCAUUAAGUUCCCCGCCUGGGGAGUACGG